GCCCUGUUAGAAGGCUGCAGGGCAUCAGGCAUUUGGGGAUCCCAAGCAGACCUGGCAAUCCUUUCUUCCUAUUCCUUCCACAUGGGCACUCUGGCCAGGAAAGCAGAUGCAGGAGGACGUGAAAGGAACUGUAUGCACAAAGGAGCCUGCUUAAUCCAAUGAAGUAAAAACAUUAGCAGCCCUGGAGGCCUCAUGGUGAAGACGGUUGUGUCACAAGAUGGGAGGAACCUGGAUCCCUGAGUCAGAGAAGAGGUGCCCAGGAGAGCCACCCAACCAAGAACACCUACA